AUAGUCAUAUCCCACUUGAGCUGC
rnacentral:siRNA from 1 species